GAUGAACGCUGGCGGCGUGCCUAAUACAUGCGAGUCGAGCGAACAGACGAGGAGCUUGCUCCUCUGACGUUAGCGGCGGACGGGUGAGUAACACGUGGAUAACCUACCUAUAAGACUGGGAUAACUUCGGGAAACCGGAGCUAAUACCGGAUAAUAUAUUGAACCGCAUGGUUCAAUAGUGAAAGACGGUUUUGCUGUCACUUAUAGAUGGAUCCGCGCCGCAUUAGCUAGUUGGUAAGGUAACGGCUUACCAAGGCAACGAUGCGUAGCCGACCUGAGAGGGUGAUCGGCCACACUGGAACUGAGACACGGUCCAGACUCCUACGGGAGGCAGCAGUAGGGAAUCUUCCGCAAUGGGCGAAAGCCUGACGGAGCAACGCCGCGUGAGUGAUGAAGGUCUUCGGAUCGUAAACCUCUGUUAUUAGGGAAGAACAAAUGUGUAAGUAACUAUGCACGUCUUGACGGUACCUAAUCAGAAAGCCACGGCUAACUACGUG
rnacentral:rRNA from 1 species